GGGGAGAGAGGUGAAGACGGGGAGAGAGGUGAAGACGGGGAGAGAGGCAGACAGGUGAAGACGGGGAGAGGUGAAGACGGGGAGAGAGGUGAGGACGGGGAGAGAGGUGAAGACGGGGAGAGAGGUGAAGACGGGGAGAGAGGUGAAGACGGGGAGAGAGGUGAAGACGGGGAGAGAGGUGAAGACGGGGAGAGGUGAAGACGGGGAGAGAGGUGAAGACUGGGAGAGAGGCAGACAGGUGAAGACGGGGAGAGAGGUGAAGACGGGGAGAGAGGCAGACAGGUGAAGACGGGGAGAGAGGUGAAGACGGGGAGAGAGGCAGACAGGUGAAGACGGGGAGAGAGGUGAAGACGGGGAGAGAGGUGAAGACGGGGAGAGAGGUGAAGACGGGGAGAGAGGUGAAGACGGGGAGAGAGGUGAAGACG